rnacentral:rRNA from 1 species
AACGAACGCUGGCGGCAUGCCUAAUACAUGCAAGUCGAACGAUCUCUUCGGAGAUAGUGGCGCACGGGUGCGUAACGCGUGGGAAUCUGCCCUUGGGUUCGGAAUAACGUCGGGAAACUGACGCUAAUACCGGAUGAUGACGUAAGUCCAAAGAUUUAUCGCCCAGGGAUGAGCCCGCGUAGGAUUAGCUAGUUGGUGGGGUAAAGGCCUACCAAGGCGACGAUCCUUAGCUGGUCUGAGAGGAUGAUCAGCCACACUGGGACUGAGACACGGCCCAGACUCCUACGGGAGGCAGCAGUAGGGAAUAUUGGACAAUGGGGGCAACCCUGAUCCAGCAAUGCCGCGUGAGUGAUAAAGGCCUUAGGGUUGUAAAGCUCUUUUACCCGAGAUGAUAAUGACAGUAUCGGGAGAAUAAGCUCCGGCUAACUCCGUGCCAGCCGCCGCGGUAA